UACAGGGGGUGCAAACGUUGCUCGGAAUCAUUGGGCGUAAAGCGCACGUAGGCGGUUUGUUAUGUCGGAUGUGAAAGCCCUUGGCUCAACUGAGGAAGUGCAUCCGAAACUGGCAAGCUAGAGUACUAAAGAGGGUCGCGGAAUUCCCGGUGUAGAGGUGAAAUUCGUAGAUAUCGGGAGGAACACCGGUGGCGAGGGCGGCGACCUGGGUAGAUACUGACGCUGAGGUGCGAAAGCGUGGGGAGCAAACAGG
rnacentral:rRNA from 1 species